UACGUAGGGGGCAAGCGUUGUCCGGAUUUAUUGGGCGUAAAGAGCGUGUAGGCGGUUUGGUAGGUCCGCUGUGAAAACUCGAGGCUCAACCUCGAGACGCCGGUGGAAACCAUCAGGCUAGAGUCCGGAAGAGGAGAGUGGAAUUCCUGGUGUAGCGGUGAAAUGCGCAGAUAUCAUUUGGAACGCCAAUGGUGAAAACAGGUAGCUGGGGCUGUGCUGACACUGAGACACGAAAGCCAGGGGAGCAAACGGGG
rnacentral:rRNA from 1 species